rnacentral:lncRNA from 1 species
AUGUAUCCGAACAGAUACACUGUUGUACUACAGUAUGUAGUUUAUUCAUCCAGGUCUCUAUCUCAUGAAGGAGCUUUGAAUGAAACGGUGGAGGGCCCCACAUUCUGGAGCCUCACCCCUCUUAUGGUCUGAAUGGGGUCCAAGAGGUGGGGAGGAUAGAGGGAACACUGACAGUGGACGAGGACUUCAGUGAAGCUCCCUCGCCCAAGUUGCCUUUAUCAAACUCAACAUUUAACAACACAACAACGUCUGAAGAGAGGGUCUCUGAGGUACCAGGGGCAAUAGUAGAAAGUGUUCUCCUCAGUGGGGAAGACUCCUUGAAGAAAAAGAAGAGUCGAGAACGGAAGGGCAAGGGACAGAAAGGACGACAUAAGAGGCAAAGACAACGCCUGACGAGUACAGAGGAGGAAGAGGAAGCGGAGGAGGAGGAAUUAUACGAUGGGGAUGAGUACAGUUAUGAAUAUGAGGAUUCCACAGAUGAUCCCUUACUGUCAAUGGAAAAGCAAGGGGGUUUGAAAUCACAACAGAAAGCACACUACAUGGAAUGAGCAAGAGGUGAACACUUUUGCUUUGCCACUGUCUCUCUAGAUAUAGAAAAAUGAUAGUAAAGACACGGAUAGUAAAAAAUGUCAUUUUGACCUUUGAACCAGGAAAUGUACAUACAGCAUUCUGUCCAGUAGUGGUCAUUACUGAUUAUACAGUGGGGCAAAAAAGUAUUUAGUCCAGCCACCAAUUGUGCAAGGUCUCCCACUUAAAAACAUGAGAG